rnacentral:tRNA from 1 species
AAGACACUAGUAAAGUAGUAUAUUACACCGCUUUGUCAAAGCAGAGUCGUGGGUUAAAAUCCCGCGUGUCUUA